rnacentral:misc_RNA from 1 species
GAUGAAGAACGUAGCGAAAUGCGAUAAGUAAUGUGAAUUGCAGAAUUCAGUGAAUCAUCGAAUCUUUGAACGCACAUUGCGCCCGCCAGUAUUCUGGCGGGCAUGCCUGUCCGAGCGUCAUUUCAACCCUCGAACCCCUCCGGGGGGUCGGCGUUGGGGAUCGGCCCUUUACGGGGCCGGCCCCGAAAUACAGUGGCGGUCUCGCCGCAGCCUCUCCUGCGCAGUAGUUUGCACACUCGCAUCGGGAGCGCGGCGCGUCCACAGCCGUUAAACACCCCAAACUUCUGAAAUGUUGACCUCGGAUCGGGUAGGGAUACCCGCUGAACUUAAGCAUAUCAAUAAGCGGAGGA